rnacentral:lncRNA from 1 species
UACUAAACGCACGCUUUAGAGCAAACAUUAAAAAAAAAACAAAAAAAAAGAGAGGAGAAACUCAGAAUAGCUUGCGCUUAAGCAUACAUUUCUCGCAGCAUCUACUGUGAAAAUUAAUAGCCUAAUUAUGUAGAUAUUGCUAAGUUUAUUGAGAAUUCAGCAAAAAAAAAUUUAAUUAUUCAAUGUUUAAAAAAAUUUAUAGAGUAAACAUUAAAAGAAAACACGAAAUCCAUCUAUUCGAGAAAAAUAUUUGAAUAAACAAAGUAUGGCUUAUAUUUUUUUUUAUUACCUUCAUACUUUCUUUUUUUUCUUUAUAGAAAAUUUCACUUCUAAUUUCGGCAAUAUGAGGUAAAGCUGAAAAGCGAAGCAAAGGCGUUGGGAAUCGGAUAAAAAGAAAGCAAAGUGGAUAUUUUGCAAUGAUGAGGGAAGUCUCAAUUUAUGUCAUUUCCGCAAAAAUCAGAGAGUGCGGUUACAUAUUUGCAUUUAACGCGGCGUAUAGAUUUACAAAGGGUAGCUUAACAAUAGCGCAUGCAUGUAGUAUAUCAGAUGUUACACGUUACACAUUCGGCAGCUGUGUGUGUGUGGAAGGAACUUAUCCGAGAUCGAUAUACACAAGGGGUGGCUCUGUGCCAAGUACAGCUGUCAGGCACCCAGCCAUUCGUCUUCUAGAUUGUUGUUCCACCUCAGUCCAGGUGGCACGUUGGGUGGAGGGAUAGUGUGACGUAGUAAUGCCACGAAAUCUGUCGUCGUCUGCAUGCACUCAAUUAUUGGAAGUCUGUAACAGUAGAUAUGGUGCCAAAACAGUUCGAAAUUGGCUACUUUGCAGUUUCCAGUGUACCUUGAUUACGUAUAGAGUUAAGUCACCACAAAUUCAUGCUUUCUUUUCAUUUUGAUCAUUCUUAAAUUAUUCAUGGUUACUUACGAGUUAGUACUUCUUGAUGGAACUCGGGAAAGAUUAUUCUGGCAUCGUGCGUAUGCAUUAUCUAUCUUCUUUGACCAACCAUUAAGAUAUGGAAACUUUAAUUUUGUUUUCUAGGUGGAUUAUAAUGUAAUCGAGAUUACUAUGAAGUCAGAACUACAUCUUUUGAUGGAUGUAAUAAACUUUUAAAAGAUUUAGUCUUGUAUUAUUACCAUUAUUACGGGCGAAUGUAGGCGUCAGGAAAAAUGUGCAGAAGUACGAGGCAGAGGAUCUGAUAGGCAGAGUGGAUGAAUUCUUCAAUGACAAGGCAUUGAUCGCUUCAUCUUCUUUAGACAAGUUGCACGGAACCCGAGGGAACGAUAAGCCGGGGUUGUAUUACGUAAAAGGUUGUGACAAAUUGGUUGCAGCCAACACAAGGCUCUGCAUUAACCUCAUCAUCAUUUUGACCUUUUGAAAUUUUUACGCUUUCAAUUUAAGAAAAAGUAUCGAUCGAGAAGGCGCCUCUCUCUCUCUUUCUUUCUUCUCUUCUACCAAGUCUCGGCUUUUGUUCCGCUUUUUAAGGAGACUUUUCUCUCGCCGCAGGGCCGGAAAAGGCCAGUUGGCAACACGGCUGACCAGAUCGAUGGCAAAAUAAUUCGGAAGAAAAUCACGUAAAAAGAUUGAUAUGAGUUAAAAAGUGGCGGUCCGUGACCACUUCGCAACUUUUCACUUCCGAGUUCGUUCUUUACCGGAGAUCGGUUCUCCAUCUAAUUAUCUUUGUAAGUCUGGUUUUCGUCACUCUUCCGCAGGAAUGACUUUUUACCCAAGGAAAAGAAACGAGCGCCUUCCUUUUAUUGUUUUCUCAGCAUUUAGAAAGGCAUAUCUAGGAUUAAUAACCCGUUAAAGAUGCUUUUUUCUGGAGUUAGUAGAAUGAAGAGACGUAGAAGGCCUGAUCAGAAAAACGGAGAUGAUGUUUUCUCGAGGGAAAAGGACCGACAGCCGCCUUAAUUAAGAAGAUGUGGUGAUAGCACCAUGGAGCCGAUUUAUGAACUGGCCGAAGGCCGAGUGUUCGACAAACGUGCCGCAUACACGGCCGAGCUAAUGGAGCGUGUGGAGGCAGCUGGCGCAACAGAGCGGCUUAAGACCGACUUGGCUAUCGAGUAUUGGACACGGGCCAAUGUCAUUCUUGCGGUUCCUUAUGGUUAUUGGAAUUCGGAGCCGGUUAUUUGUCACUUUACCAACAUGGACACCUCCGAUCAAUGGCGGGAAUUUCUUCCUUCUUCUCCUAUUUAAAUUCUUCGCCACUCGUCAAAUUUUACUGCGCCGCGCACGCUGUUAUUUGGCAUUCUUCCACCCCGCUCGGCCUUUGAAUUUCUGCCUUUCAACCUUCUCUUCCAGCUGCCGCCUUCACCAGUCGGUAGUUGGGAAAUUUUGUGCCUCCUCUCUGCUACUUGGCACCCCGAACUCCUCCUAAAUUGUGUUUUACUUCCGCAGUCAGUCCUCUCGGGUUAACGUUCCCCGCCGGCUAAAUAGCUUCCGAAAAUGUUUCUCUAGAUGUACCAUCCUUUCGGGACCUCCUCUUUAUGCCCUCCAGCCACAUGUCCAUUUUAGGUCACACUUUCCUGAGGGAUAGUAGGAGAAAUAAAAUUUUCCCCCCGUUUUCUACACCCAAAUGAUAAUAAGAUGCUUAAACGCGUAGAACUGCUACUUAUUCAUUUGCGAAAGUCGGAGAUUGUGCUGACGCUUUUCCUUCCAGAAGAGAAGACUCAGCUCUCGCUUUUAAAAUUUAUGAUAAAUUUUUAGCGGAAAAACAAAGAGCUAAAUUGUUCUCGCUAUUUCGCACAAUUUUUAUUGCGUCGAAGAAAAGUGAUAUGUUAUUUAUUGCUCUUUCUGCGGCCAUUUUCAUGCGUCAUCUCCCAAAACACGGCGCUGAUGAAGUCCGUUAUAAAGAAACGAUUGAAAUCCCAUCCUGACUGUUUCCUUUUACCUGGUCGUUUUUAUCAUCACCGAAUGUGGAUGAGGAUGCUUUUCCUGUUUCUAAUGAUCAUCUGACCAUUCGAUGCCUUAAAACCAAUUCUGUUCUUUUAUACCGUAUUUUCCCGUGCUUUUAACGGCAUGAACUUACUAUCAAAAAAUUUUAACUUCCAUUGAAGCCAUUUUACUCGCUCUACAAUUUAAAAAUGGGUUAAAAAAAUUCAAGAAAUAACUUCAUGAAGCGUCAGAAGAAAAAUGGUAUUCGAAAACUACAAAAGAUGCAUCUGCUGACGAUUUCUGCAUGUAAACAGCAUCAUUCUUCUGCGUUUUCGCCCGAAGAACUAUUCUGUUCUAUGGUCGAAGAAUGGAGUGUGAUUAGUGACCAUUUUUCAACAUAAAAGAAAGCUUGUUAUUCGAAAACUUUUGACUUUUCAGCUUGGUCUUAACCAAAUUAAGCCAGUUUAAUGGGACAGUAUUAUCUUUAAAACUUAAAAGUAGGCGAGUACCUAGUAAUAGCCAUUCAAUAUCCUUGUUAUUUUUAUUUUAAUGAGAGAGAAGCCUAUUGGAUGAUGUAGUUUGGCCCCGAAAGGAAGUAAUUGUAAAACAUUGCUUGUCCAAUUAAAAAUAUUAGUAUGUCUGGAGGCGAAGUGGACGAUCGGAUUCUCUGGUUUUAAACUAUUUGGAAUUCUGCCCGGACAUGACAAAUUGCUUAUUGACUUUUCAUUUUCUUAUUAAGGAGCCGGCGCUCUUCUGCACGAAUUACUUCUCCGGUAUAUCCAUCAUCGCAUUUGUUGCAUCCAUAUUUUUCGAGAUUUUCACUUGGGUAUAAUGCCUCAAUAAAGAACUCGGUUAUUAAUCUGUCCGCUGGAGAACAGAAGGGGAAAAAAGACUAUUUGACUUUUUAGUUUUAUUUCUUCGGGGAUUAUCUUUGCGUGUUUAUCUUCCGUAGUACCAUUUUUUUAUGUCUCCUCCUCCGUCUCUUCUUUUCCAUCCUCAUCAUCUUUAACAUGUCUACACUUCCGACCGCAUAUAAUCUUCCAUUUAUUCAGACAGUGGGUGCUUCAGUGCAAGAGGACCAGUGCGAUGAAUGGUUCUCUUGCACCGAAAACCCAAAUGCAACAUAACAAAGCUUCGCAAUGGCGAAUUUUGUGAUAUCUAUACUUGAGGUCAACACCCAUAAUUUAAUCAAUAGAACACUUUUUUUUUUGAUCAGUCAGAGGGUCAAAUCUCCGUCCAUUAUUUCAUCCGGUAGCCCGGUUCGCCGAUUUUAAUCAGAACGCUUGGUUUAUGAACUGAAAAGACAGAAUUUAAAAUCAGAUAAUUUUAUCGAUUUAAUAGGAAGAAGAAGUAUGCCACUCACGGUAAGAUCAAUUUAGGCUGUCGGAUCCUUAAGUAUUACCACCUCCAACCAUUCCACCAGCGGUUGUUUCCAUGGCAACGUUCCCUUUUUUUUUAUUUAUUUCAUACAUCGUCAAUUAUAGUCGACAAGCCUUCCUUUUUUUUCUCUCUGCCUAGCAGCUUUCACCCAAAGAAACCUUCAUUACUAGACCACCUUAGGUGUUUUGACUUUUUUUUCAUACUUUUACGCUUACUUUCUAACAAAACUGUUUUUCUUCUCCCGCACAUUUGCACUUUCUCGAUUACCCGUUGUAAGCGCUGAUUCAAUAAACCCGUCGGGUGGUCUCCUAUAAAGGGAGGGAGGAAAAAAUAAAACUAGCCCAAAACUCUUCCAAGUUUUCUAACCGGUUAAUUUCGCCGUUUUCGAAACCGAUUGGUCUUCGCCACCGGAACUGUAACUAGAUAGGAAAUGCGUCUUUACAGGAUGGGGAGGUGUGUGCCAUUUGCCACUUGUCACUCAUCGUUGAAAAUCCUAUUUCCUGACCAGAUUUCAUUCUCCGCGAUUCUUCCCCAUGUUUCCCUGGGGAAUGAAGCUAAACAAGCGAUCGAUGUAAUAUAAAAAUGACUAGAUCAUCUGCACGUCCCCAAACAAUUUCUUUCUGACUGGCUCCCAAGUUAGGAUCAAUCUACUAGAGAACACGCUUUAACUCUCUGGGGAUUCAAUGCGGAAAAGAUAAUUCCCGGAUUAAUCUAUCGAUAGUCUAAAGCGCGUUUACAAAAUAAAACACAGAUUUCUUAAUUCCUCUUCUACGUUCUCUCUACUGGAACAUUUCAUCAUCGGUUUAGUUUCUAAAUCGGGCUUAUUUCCGAACCAGUCGUCUUUCUACUACUAAAGAUAGGGGGUAAGAAAGUAAGCUCCGGAGAGCGGAUGGUAUCCUAAAAGAGAUAUUAAUUUCAGACUCUGACAUCCCGAUUUGUUCGAAAGCGUAGAUAAGAAGCCUUUACAGACCUCUUAAUGGAUUUUGUCAAAGUAAAAUUAAAUUCUAAACGAAGGUCGAACGGCAUGCAGCCUAGCAUUAACGAGGAAGAGUGACGAUGUGGAAGAGUUUCCCUCUGACAAAAACGCAUUAAAACGAUUGAACGUGUUUUUAUUUACUGCCGGCAACAACCUCUGAAUCGGCGUCGAAUGGGCACCUCAUUGGCGCCCGUUUGUCGCAAUUAACGUUAUAUACGUCUAACGUCAAUCGGUCUACGUCGCAUUUUGAGGCUCCAUUCGUUCAGCACCGUUUCUCUCGUCUGAGAAUGGUGUAUUUUUAUGGCGACUGCGAGAAGAGCUGCCACCAUUCGGAAUUCUUAUAACCUACAUGAAAAAUCCAUUUUUCUAAACUUCAAAUAGGAAUAUAAUAGGCUUUUCCACUCGGAUGGCCUGGUAAUCCACUUCAGAUAUAGUUUCGGAGGUGAUACGCGUCUUCCGAAUCGUAUUCCUAUGUAAACAUGGAAAUAAAAAAUGUAGUUUAUCUCGAUGAGGUCCGUUUAUGUCUAACUUACCGGAUCUGCGUCACGAACUUUUAAUAGUUUUAUGAAGUUUCUCAUCAUUCUCAUUCUUCAACCCUGUGAAUAUAACAUGGAUCCAGUGAUGAGAAUAGCGUGAGAUUUUCUAUCGGGUUCGUUUAACCGGCAUAUUGAAAUUGGUAAAUAAAUUUGACUAAGAUGGAUGUUGUUAGUGCAGCUGUUCAAACGCUCUUAGUGGCUUACGGUGUGUUUUGAUGAAUUGGACCACUUCGGUGUUUGUAUGCGAGUAAAUAUACCUUCGCAUCGUAACACGAUUGUUACGCAUUUCACACUAGGAAAAAAAAUUGGUGAAUUAUUUAUUGUCGGGAUGGUUAUCAAUUAACGUGUCAAAAACCGCACAGAAUGCGAAUUUAAGUGGGUUUGGGCACGAAUAUAGGAUUUAUUUGCCUUGUAUAUUAUGUCUACUGAACUUUUUUCGAGAUCAUAUUUUACGAAGCUAUUUGGUUAAGAAUAUUUGGUGUUUAUCGAAUGGCCAUUAAAGGACACGAGUCAACAUAUUGAAUAACCAUAAUGCAGUGCUUUAGAAGAAUUCCAACAUUCAGUUAAUGGAGUGGACACGAAAAAAAAUUCUAGUUAUAAAUCUAUGGUAAGUUGAUGGGCAGAUAUUCUAGUGGUACAGAAAAAAACGAAUAAAUCUUCCAUACAGGUUAAGCAUAAUAAAUAGAAAUUUUCCAAUUUUUCCAUUCAAAUAGAGAUGCGCGAUUAGCGAAGGUCAACCUGGUUUCUAUGUUUUCACCUUAGACAUUCUUAUGAGGGCUUUGUGACUUCUAUCUAUCGAAUUUAAAGAAAAUUCGAUUUUAGAACAAUGUAGUAAUUUCUAUCAGGGAGUAGAUUAUAAUGGCGAAAAAUAUUUAAGUUGCAAAGUAGAAUUUGAGAACCGAUAAGAACAAAAUUAAUCUAUACUGAAAAGUUAUUAAGGAAAUGAUAACAAGUUGAUUUUUUUUAACAACUUAGGAAUAGACGAAAAGAUAUUAAAAUCCUUGUAGAAAGAUAAAUUCCGAAUGAGUUUUAUUAGAUCCCUUCUGAAAGCCCAAGUCUUGCCGGAAAACAUUAAGAGGCGAAAAAUCCCGAGAAGGAUUAAAAUGAAGACAUUAACGUUUCGUUAAUUGAUUUGGCAGAAAUAAUCUAGAGAAGAAGGCAGAUCCGAGAAUAAAAUCUUUUUUUUUUUUUUCUUUUUUUAUAUUUUUGCCGAGGAAACAUUAAAAUGUGGAGUAAUGUCCUAUCUCAUUCUAGAUCGUUAACUGCAACUUCUGUAGACGCAUCCAGCAAUAAUAACACAUUACUGCCACGCUUCCAUCAUCGCUUCCUGCUAAUUAGAAGAAAUCUGUUUUAGAUAAGGCUAAUAACUCCGAUCUAAAUGCUUAAAUAGCCAAUAUAAAUUAACAAUUCCCACUCGCCUUUAUCUUCCGUCAAUUGCAAUUUUUCUUUAAAUACAAUCGGUCGCUCACCGGAACGUUCGGCGGCCCGACCCUCUACCGCGGAAAUGUCCGCGCAUUGGCGCCAACUCGAGCGAAACCGCGACGCCAGGCGAAUAAUGGUGGUAAAUAACGAUACGAUCACCACACUCAGACGAGGCUAUUGUCGUGUACGCUGAAACAAAGAAUAAUAGUUCAGUUACACCACAAUAGUGCGGAACAGACAAGUCUAAAAUUUUUGUCGAAACUCUAAUUAGCCAAAUGGAUUGUAGAAAACGGAAUGAGAGAUUUGAAGAAAUCGUGCUCAUUUCUUAUGGAUGUUUUUUUUUUGAAAGAUUUAAUCCUCGAUUAAUUGGGCAAAAAGCCGAAUCGAAACAGAAUCUUAGAUAAUUAACGAAGAAAUUCUAACACCAUUCUAUCGCGAAGCAUUUCUUUCGACCUGAGGGCAUAGUUUACGCUAGUUUCCGAUUCAUGCAUCCACCAGUCUUCACGGAAAUAGCGGGACCAUCCCCUUGGAUGACGACAAAUCCGAAAGAUGCAGACAGACACACUUUCCUUUUCCGCGCAUUAACGCCUCUGUGCUCCUUCCCGGAGGACAAAGUCUCUUUUAUGAAUUUCACUUUUGCCUUCCAGGCUGCAGUCCGAGUACUUUUCCGAGUAAAGUCUACAUUUAUCAUUUCUGAAGGUAAAAACACUAGGUGAAUUAUUUUUGCUGUGCGACUAAGCUACAGUUAUUUUUUUUAUUUCUGAACUGUGAUAGAAUAAUAAAAUUAGAACACGAUUCGCUUUUCAUGUUGCACCUUAAUUGAUAAAAUAUAAUUAAAACUAGUAGAUGAGCUGGAUUUGAUCUUAAAAAUACUAUAGGGAUCCGAGUGAAUUCACGAGAAAAUGUUUGAUGCGUGAAACUAUUUGAAUUGGCGGUAUCGAUUAUAUACGCGCUAUAUUCUCUUCCAGACGCUCUUUCCUGGGUACCAGAUGGGUUCCACUUUUAAAAUGACGUAAUAAGAAACUUGUUACAGUUGGCAGU